GACGAACGCUGGCGGCGUGCUUAACACAUGCAAGUCGAACGGAAAGGCCCUGCUUGCAGGGUACUCGAGUGGCGAACGGGUGAGUAACACGUGGGUGAUCUGCCCUGCACUUCGGGAUAAGCCUGGGAAACUGGGUCUAAUACCGGAUAUGACCUUCCAUGUAGUGUGGGGGGUGGAAAGAUUUAUCGGUGUGGGAUGAGCCCGCGGCCUAUCAGCUUGUUGGUGGGGUAAUGGCCUACCAAGGCGUCGACGGGUAGCCGGCCUGAGAGGGUGGACGGCCACAUUGGGACUGAGAUACGGACCAGACUGCUACGGGAGGCAGCAGUGGGGAAUAUUGCACAAUGGGCGGAAGCCUUAUGCAGCGACGCCGCGUGGGUGAUGACGGCCUUCGGGUUGUAAACCUCUUUCGACAGGGACGAAGCUUCGGUGACGGUACCUGUAUAAGAAGCACCGGCUAACUACGUG
rnacentral:rRNA from 1 species